rnacentral:rRNA from 1 species
GGCUAACGCUGGCGGCGUGUCUUAGCCAUGCAAGUCGAGCGGACUUAUGGGGUAACUUAUAAGUCAGCGGCGGACGGCGGAGUAACACGUAGCUAACCUACCCUCUGGACGGGGAUAACCUACCGAAAGGUGGGCUAAUACCCGAUGUAGUCAUCCUGUAUAGGGGUGAUGAAAGGUGGGCUUCUGUUUACAAGCUCAUGCUGGAGGAGGGGGCUGCGGCCUAUCAGGUAGUUGGUAGGGUAAUAGCCUACCAAGCCGAUGACGGGUAGCCGGCCUGAGAGGGUGACCGGCCCGAGGGGCACUGAGAUACGGGUCCCACUCCUACGGGAGGCAGCAGGCUAGAAAUUUGGGCAAUGGGGGAAACCCUGACCCAGUGACGCCGCGUGCAGGAAGGAGCCCUUCGGGGUGUAAACUGCUGUCGUGUAGGGAGAAGGGUACUAAGGUGAACAAUCUUAGUACUUGACGGUACUACAGGAGGAAGCCCAGGCUAACCUCGUGCCAGCAGCCGCGGUAAAGAUACGUAGA